CCCGGUACCUGCAGUUAGAACAGAUGCUGUGUAUUUGUAUCUGUUAUAUUCCAGGUAUUCACGGAUCAGUUCAUUGAUCAGCAGGUUCUCAUGGGACAGCGGCGGCCGAGGUUCGCUUUGGUCGUCCAGUGCAUUGAACACUUCAGCUCUGAUCCUCGCUUUGAUUUCUCCAAGAGCGCCUCUUUUUUCCAGCGUGUCCUUUAAAACUAUUACCAUAGAAAGAUCUGUUAAUUCAGAGCCCAACGCAUCCAAGCAUAAACAUAAUUCCGGCGCGACAGCGAUAAGUAGUAAACACACGCUCGCUAAUUUCAGAAGAGGAAUAACUGGAGCAGGAUGUGUUUAAUGGUGAGACAGAGCGGAAUACAGCCCGCUGUGCAUGAGGGGGCAGUGCGCUGUGCGGGGCGAAGGGCGGCGGCCCCUUUAGCGCCAGGGGCAGCUCCGAAACCCAUCGGGCCGCCAGGACCCCCGUCCUCCCUCACGGCCAUCCCGGCCGCCCCCGACCCCCGACCUGCUUUGAGCUCCGCCACCGUCGCCAUGGCCGCGUCGGGACCCGGAUGGGGCCGGGCGGGCGCUGCGCAGGCGCGGGGAUGGCGGAGCGUCCCUGAGGGGCCGGGCGGGAGUGCAGAGUGUCCUCAGGGAGCGGAGCCCCAGGAGGGUCUUCUGUUAUCGGGCAAGGUCACGCUGGGAUAAAGUAAUAAAAUAACCAGCGCCGCCUCAAUGGUGCCUGCGGAGUUACCGCUUGGUGUCCUGGCUGCGGUUCAGCCCUGUGGCAUGUCAAGGUUGCUGUGCUUCCCCCCCCGCCCCCCAUAAUUUCAAAGAUUAUCAAAGAGCUUUAUUUAGAGAGGGGAAAAAAAAAAAGAAAAUUAUUUAGAAAGGAAACGUGGAGAAUGAGCGAGAAUUUCCCCCAGCUGUGUAGCGGAGGAGUUUUGUACCGACUCUCUGAGAGAUGAACUGUUAGUUAAAAGGACUCGCCAGAGAUGAGCUUCUAAUUUAAAGGACUUGCCAAAAUGUAACUGUAUACGGCGCGUUCUGCAACUCUGAGGAUCCCUGGCGUGUCUGGAGGCAUGUGCGUGUGCCCCGUGUUGCUGGGAUGAGUCAACAGUGUUUAUUUUGUCAAUGCAUGAAGUAUUUCCCAAAGGAAAUGCAGCCGGUGUGGGUGAACGAACUGGAUUUGUCAUGGUCUGGACGGAGCAGCCUGCUGGGGCUUGAGGGAAAAUGUGAGGCAGUAAAGCCUGAGGCUCACAAGGCUGAAGGGUGGUAGUGGUGGUGGGCUGUUGGGAUUUUUCGUUUAUUUGUUUGGUUUUCUACAUUUCCUUUCAAAGCAAAUAUUUAUAUGAUGAGCUUCCAAAGAAUCUCUGGUGGGGGGCAAUAAAUAAAAUUCGGGGAAAGAAAAGUCUUUAGAAGUACUGGUGGAGUCAAUCUGUUUCCUGACCCCAGCAGUCACUGUGUCGUAGCUGUGGGUGCCUCUCCACCCUGUGCCUGCUGCCCGGAUCCCCAGUGCAACUCUGGGGACAAACAGCUCCUUACAUUUAACACGCAAGGCAUUUUCACAGUCAAAACAUGUCUCUUCGCAUCCUUCCAAACUUCUCCAUGCUGUUAUGAGUCACUCUGCUAUUACACCCGAUUUCCAGUUGAUAAGUUGUUGCAGUUUUCCACCCUGUAUUUCCUAUCCUGCUUCAGUUUGUAUCCUAUAAAGCAAAGUUAAUGGUCCAAACCAGAAUUUUGGGUGGUUCUUUUUUUUUUUUUUCUGGUUGCAAGGAAAUCCCUUUUUAAACAAGAUUGCAGUUUGUAUUUCUUGCGUUAUUAUGUGUUUUAAAAGAUGCUAUUGUAACAAUGGUUUGUGAAAUCCAUGUUCAGUGACUUUCUGGUACUCUGAGACCUUGGUUCUGUAUCUCUGCAGGUUUGGGCUUGUGUCAGCUCUGUCUUUUCUUCUUCACGAUAAAUAUUUUGAGUCUGCUACAUUUUUCUUCUAGAGUCUUUUGCUUCCUCUCACAUUAAUUAUUCAUUGUGUAUUUUGACUGCACUUUGGUUUACAUUAUUGUUGUUGUAGCUGUUGCUUAGAGUUUCUAAGGGAAGGAGAUUGAAUUAAUUGGAAAGGAAAUAAUUUGAGGUGCAGAUCCAAGUAUCAUUUGAUGAGAAACAUCACUAACCUGGUGCACAACCACUGGUGACAUUGGGACAGUCUGAAGUUGAAAAAAAUUAUUAUUUUAAACUAAUUGGAAAGUUUGGAUCCUGAAUGUGUAACUUAAAUUUUUUUAGUCUUUUAGCUUACAAUAAUAUCUUGAGAAAAACAUAUGGAUAAAAAUGUCAUUUUCUUGACCCUCCUCACUUCAUGCUUAUUUCCUGUCUUCUUGUUUGGAACAAUACCUGCAUAUGAUCUCUGUAUCCUAAAUAAUUUUCUGCUGUAUCAUUUCAGCUGUAAGUUUAUAUUCUUAUCUAAUAUAAAAGUGUAAGCUCUUAGAGGCUGUAUUAUCUCUAGCAUUUUUCUGGUUUACUAUUUUAUCAAUAGUGCUAUUAAAAGAGAAAAGCUCUUCCAACUCAA